UCUGGGAGGAGGUCGUUGUG
rnacentral:misc_RNA from 1 species